UACGAAGGGUGCAAGCGUUACUCGGAAUUACUGGGCGUAAAGCGUGCGUAGGUGGUGAGUUAAGUCUGAUGUGAAAUCCCCGGGCUCAACCUGGGAAUGGCAUUGGAUACUGGCUCGCUAGAGUGCGGUAGAGGGUGGUGGAAUUCCCGGUGUAGCAGUGAAAUGCGUAGAGAUCGGGAGGAACACCAGUGGCGAAAGCGGCGCACUGGACCACAACUGACGCUGAGGCGCGAAAGCUAGGGGAGCAAACAGG
rnacentral:rRNA from 1 species